rnacentral:rRNA from 1 species
AUUGGACGCUGGCGGCAGGCCUAACACAUGCAAGUCGAGCGGAUGAAGGGAGCUUGCUCCUGGAUUCAGCGGCGGACGGGUGAGUAAUGCCUAGGAAUCUGCCUGGUAGUGGGGGAUAACGUCCGGAAACGGGCGCUAAUACCGCAUACGUCCUGAGGGAGAAAGUGGGGGAUCUUCGGACCUCACGCUAUCAGAUGAGCCUAGGUCGGAUUAGCUAGUUGGUGGGGUAAAGGCCUACCAAGGCGACGAUCCGUAACUGGUCUGAGAGGAUGAUCAGUCAAACUGGAACCUGAGACCGGGCCAAGACCCCUCGGGGGGGCAGAGGGGGGAAAUUUGGAAAAAGGGGCAAAGCCCUGACCCGGCCUGGCCGGGGUGGGAAAGAGGGUUUCGGAUUUGAAAAGCCUUUAAAUUGGGAGGAAAGGCAAGUAAGUAAUUCCCUGGCUGUUUGACGUUUCCAAAAAAAAUAGCACCGGCUAACCUCCG